rnacentral:rRNA from 1 species
GAUGAACGCUGGCGGCGUGCCUAAUACAUGCAAGUCGAGCGAACAGACGAGGAGCUUGCUCCUCUGACGUUAGCGGCGGACGGGUGAGUAACACGUGGAUAACCUACCUAUAAGACUGGGAUAACUUCGGGAAACCGGAGCUAAUACCGGAUAAUAUAUUGAACCGCAUGGUUCAAUAGUGAAAGACGGUUUUGCUGUCACUUAUAGAUGGAUCCGCGCCGCAUUAGCUAGUUGGUAAGGUAACGGCUUACCAAGGCAACGAUGCGUAGCCGACCGGAGAGAGCGGUCGGGCCCACGGAGACACACACCCGGUCAGGCCCCAGGCGGGAGGCACAAGCUGGGAAUCGUCGGAAAUGGCGCACAAGUGGAGAAACUCAGUGCGUGGGGUGGAAGAAGUUUUUCGGUCCUUAAACCUUUGUUAGGAGGAACAAAAAAACGGGACAGUAAAAAUUCCGGUCUUGACGGUACCUAAUCAGAAGGCCGCGGCUACGCCCGUG